CCUACGGGAGGCAGCAGUGGGGAAUAUUGGACAAUGGGCGAAAGCCUGAUCCAGCAAUUCCGCGUGUGUGAAGAAGGCCUUCGGGUUGUAAAGCACUUUAGUGGGGGAAGAAACAGCUUGGCCACACCAAGCCUUGACGGUACCCCAAGAAUAAGCACCGGCUAACUCUGUGCCAGCAGCCGCGGUAAUACAGAGGGUGCAAGCGUUAAUCGGAUUUACUGGGCGUAAAGGGUGCGUAGGUGGCUAUUUAAGUCGGAUGUGAAAGCCCGGGGCUCAACCUCGGAAUUGCAUUCGAUACUGAGUGGCUAGAGUUCGGUAGAGGGCGGCGGAAUUUCCGGUGUAGCGGUGAAAUGCGUAGAUAUCGGAAGGAACAUCAAUGGCGAAGGCAGCCGCCUGGGCCUGGACUGACACUGAGGCACGAAAGCGUGGGUAGCAAACAGGAUUAGAUACCCUGGUAGUCCACGCCGUAAACGAUGAGAACUUGACGUUGGUUCGUUUUACGAAUCGGUGUCGCAGCUAACGCGAUAAGUUCUCCGCCUGGGGAGUACGGCCGCAAGGUUGAAACUUAAUGAAAUUGACGG
rnacentral:rRNA from 1 species